ensembl:lncRNA
AGGAUGGGUGGGCUGUGGAGGGCUGCCUGAGAUCACUAGUUCCCUAACAUCCUCAGUCUUCCUUGGUUGCAGAGUCCGGCAGUGAUGUCCCUGAAUGGCUCCCUUCUGGCACAUGGCUGCAAGUCCAGCCUCGUUGGACACCUCUCUUCUGGUGAAGCCUUUACCCACAUCCACUUCCACACCUUCUGUGGUCUCCACAACCACUUGGAAGCUCAGCUUCAACAUUCAUGGCCUCUACUCAAGCAACUGGGAAUUGCCAGAGAGAACCUCAUCAGGGUGUCAGCCAAAGGAGGGGAUGCACCAAGGGUGCUGCUUGAAUUGACUACAGGCCCAUGUUCUAUGAUGGCAGACGGAGAUGUCAGGAUGGAAAGCAACACCACUCAAACCAACUGGACCCUUUCUCUGGGGAACCAUUGCCCUAUAUUAGAGAAAGCAGGCUUUCCACAGAGCCUGGCCACCAGGGGCUCCUUCAGGGCUGGGUUCUGUGACGGUGACCUGACCAUGGCCCUCCAGAGCGAUGAAGGAGAUGCCCAUGUGCACUUAGCAACUUCUUGCAGACAAAAACCCUUGGUGCAAGGAAGCCUGCACCACUCCUUCAGGCCUCUGAGCCGCCUGGGGCUGCCUCCCAGCAGUGCCAUCCACCUGCAGGCAGGGUUGGGCCCUGCCCCACACAGCUCCUUGACUCUCCAAGUUGGGCAGUGUCGGCUUCAGGGCAGAAUGGAGUUCCAGUCCAGGAACAGAACCCAGUGGGUACUGGAGACAGAGACGGAGUGUGAUCUACUGCAGGACCUUGGAAUCCCCGCCCAGAUGCACCUCAAUGGAUCAACUCAGGUUGCCGGCUGUCAGGUUAAGCUGCUCUGCACCCUCUUGACGGGUGGCCAGACAGCCUUCUUGGAACUCAGGGGAGCGUGCCAACCACAGCUCACCAUCCGGGCCAUAUUCAGGCACACCUUGCCAGAGCUCUGGGCCAUUCCAGAGGAGACCAAGCUGUCUUUUCAAGCUGGAAAACAGACCAAGUACCAGCUGGACCUGAAGCUGAGAUCAGGAGCCUGUGAAAUCCAAGCCAAUGGGGAUCUGCAACUGGAGAGAAAGUUCCAGUGGAGGGGGCUGGUGGAGAAUUCCUGCAAAGCACUGCAGGCUCUUGGGGCCCCACGUCGGAUUGAUGGUUCAGGCUACGUGGUGGUGAACAGUAUGGAUCUGGAUGCCCAGAUGUUGGUCACUGUAGAUGACAGCACCCUUCGAGGCCUUCUCGUCCUGAAGGCCACUGAGACACACCAAGAACUAGACAUGCUGUUUACCCACAACCUCCCUGAUGCUCUCCACUUUGGCAUCCCAACUCGGACCCUGGCAGAUGUGACCACAGUGAGAAGUAACCAUAGUUACAGGCGUACCAUCCGGUUUGGCAUGGACAGCAAGCAGAUUUCUGAAGAGCUCAGCUUCACUCAACAAUCAGACUACAUUUCCCUCGACUACAAAAUCCGACACAAUGUCCCAACAUUGCAGGCAUUGGGGUUAGAAGAUAAGAUAGACUUGCAGGUCUCUCUGGACCACCAAGCAGCCAAGAACUUGAGUGGCAGGGCUCAGUAUGGCUCAGGCAUCAUCAUCUUUGGAGGCCAAAGCCAGAGCACCACAACCAGACAUUCCUGGUCUGGUACCCUCUGGCAUAACUGGCCUGUGUUGUUGCAGUGUGGACUCCCAGAAUCACUUCAGGUUGUAAUGUACCUUCAAGGAACCAGUUUCAACAUUGAUAGCUCCGUGAACAUUCUGGUGGGGCAGACGUCUCUCAACUACACCACGAGCUGUUCUUAUACCAGACAGCAAAUGGCGUUCUCCUGCUGGAGUAGACAUAACAGCAGUGCUCUGAGGGAAGGAACUGGCUACCCAGAGGUGGUUGGCCUCACGGUAGUGCUACAGACACAAGAAACCCAGACCCAGGGCAGCGUGGACAUCCAGGGAGGAGACAGGAAAGUCAGUGUGGAUUUGGCAGCUCUGAUGUCCUUGGAACUAAAUGGGACCCUCAAGCUUGUGGCCCACAUCCAACACACAGUGCCAAUUCUCAGGCAGCUGGGCCUGCCCUUCACAACCCAGUUGUUAUUCCAGGAAAUCCUGGCAGCCAGUGAAAUGAAAACAUCCUUGGAAGUAACCUGUGAGUCUGAAACAAGUCUUCUCAUUCAUGUGAGGGGAAGGAAUCAACCACUCAGAAAAGAACUGUAUGUUACCAGCCAACAGCAUCUCUCCUUCCUCCUCAAUCACUUCCCUAGGACAGCCAAGCUUUCCACCAAGGUGAGUUACUCCAUGAGUGAAGCCGAAAGCAUGAUUGCCGUUGACCUGGAAAAGCACCAUUUCCACGUGGCCACAAAGCUGACAGUUACUGCAUCCAACCUCACUCAAGUGACUGAGCUGAUGCAUACAAUUCCCCAGCUCAAAAUGAUCCCCUGGGAAAUGGUGCUCGUGACCAUGUAUCAGAAAGCCAACGGGACAAGGAGCAUCCAACAGUUGGUACUUUGGGACGGCCAGGAGUUCAAGUUCAUUGGCAGCUACACAGGGCUCUUUCCCAAGUUCUCCAGGAGCGAGCACAUGCAGGUGGAACUUGUCCAUCCUCUCUCCAUCCCUUUUCCUCAACAUUCCAAGAUCACCACGACCCUGCUACACUCAGUUCACAGCCAUCAAGAUAAUCUAGUCAUUGAAUGGAAUGCCAAGGAACAGGUGGUGCUGUCCUCCUCUCUAAAGCUGGGGAAGGAUCACGUGCGUGGCCAGGUGGCUUUUGCUCAUCCCUUCAACCUAUCCUGGAGCCACAUGGAAGCCAAGGGCCUGGCAGAGAAGAGGGGCAGCAGGUACAGCCAACAGGUACAACUUGCCUGGAAUAGAGGGAAACCUGUCAACUUCCAGUUUUCCUGGGCAGACAGGUCAGAAGCUACCAUCACCAACUGGGAAGGCUGUCUGACUGCAUCCUCAGGACAGCUCCAGAAAUUCCUGACCCUGGGCAAUCUCAAGGCCUGUGGAUCUGUAACUCAAACUGCAACAGUGUUCAGCGAGCAUCUUGAUCUGUCCUGGGACAGCCAGAAAGUCAAACAGAGUCUGAAAUAUGAGAGACACCGGCCACUCCGGUCAGAUAGACUGCAUGCAGAAGUGGUUCUAGAGAAUAUCUUCUUGACCUCCUGCCCCAAGCAAAACUUCCUGGGAGAAAUAGAGACUAACUACCUGAACCAUCUCAGCCAUUCUCUCAGACUGGGACUCUGUAAUCUUUCCAGUCUGAGGGCACCAGGAGAUCAGCAAGUAAGCCUGCUGGGAAGGGUCACUGAAUCAGCCUCUCAGAGUGUAGUCCUGCUACAGGGAAGCAUGGAAUUAGAGGAAAAGUUGGAGUUGACAGCUUCCCGAGCCCCAGACUGUCUCCGGGCUUACCUGGCAUAUGGAAAAGGGACAAAGGAGGAGGGUGUGGAGAUCAGUGCCUGCUCCGACAGAAGGCAGGUGGCCAAGGCUGAGGCCAUGCUUCGUGUCAGUGGUGGGCAAAAUGAACACUUGGGCCAGCUGAUCCUCAGGGCUGCCAACCAGAGUCUGAGCCUGGCUGCACAUGGCUGCAUCACCCCCAUUGGGAAUGUGGAGUCCAAACUGGCUGAGGUUGGCUCUCACCUACAAGCCAGACUGGUGGAGAAGUUCCAGGUGUUUGACUCCUAUCUCCAGAAGUUCCGGGACGUGGUGCAACAGAUUGACUUCCUGGACAGUGCAGCUGGCUGGGUCCUGCAGAUGUCCCAGGCUGCUGUGAGAGCGCUCCAGGCAGGGGGUAGAGCAGCAGCUGGACUAUGGAGGCAAAGCUCAGCCAGGCAGGUGCUGAGACAUCACCUCCCCCUGCACCUGGAGAGACUCCAGACUGUUAUGGAACAGACGCAGAGUGAGCUGCAAAAGCCAUUAGCCACGCUGAAGGAUGCCUACUACGAAGUCACACUCAAACCCCUGGAUGAGGUAUGGCAGGAGAGGACUGAGGAGGCUAUGAGGAGGAUGCAGGCCUAUGUGCCCUCAGGGAUGAAGGACACUUGGCUCAUGAGGCCAAUCCUGCUGUCUCUGCAAGCUGUGAAGGGUGCCCUAGAUCUGACUGCCCACCAGAUACUGAAGUGGGCCGAAGCCAAGUUCUCCAGAGCAAUAAGAAGAAUACGGAAACCCUUGUCCAGUAUUUACAGCUUCUCCGCAAGGAACUGCUCUGUGAUGAUAAGGCUUCCAGUGCUGCCAGGAGGGGAUCAGCCAACGGACUUGGCCAAAGUGACUAGCUAUCUGAUCGAAGAGAAGCUGCUACAGCCCCUUCGUGAGCUGUACGGCAUCAAUCUCCUGGCGGAGUACUACCGGAUCAAGCAUCGGCUGCUGGAGAACCCUUUUGAACACCAUGCAGUGAUGAUUGGGGACAGACACGUGGUGACAUUCGAUGGACAGGCCUAUGACCUUACCUCCAAAUGCAGCCUGUUACUCGCCAAAGACUUUGCUCACAACUCCUUCAUGUUUUUACUGAACCAGUCAAACACAAGACCUAGGUCCCUGUAUGUGGAGCUGAAUCACACAGCUUUCAUCAUCUAUCCAGGGCUUAAGAUCUACAAGAUAGAUGAUUCUUCCUCGUUGGGAGAGAAUUGUCUGGGCUUGGAUCCACUACCUGCCAAAGUCAGGGCCAAUGGGAGAAAAGAAGUUCAUAAAAUAGAAUUAUCCAAUGAGAAUGGUGCUACAGUCUCCUGCGAUAUUCAGUCUGAUCUCUGUAGUAUGACACUGGAUGGCUGGAAUCAUGGUAUGUCGGCAGGCAUCUUGGGCACCAAUGACAAUGAGGCGGGCAAUGACCUGGUGCUCCCAAAUGGCUCUCUGGCAGGAAACCUGGAUGAAUUCAUUGAGGCAUGGCAGGUGGAUGGUGAGUGCAGGACCCAGAGAAGGAAAGCAGAGGUCUGUCCUGGGGCUGCUUCUUCCAAACUCUGCAAGGCAUUCUUUCUGGAUGCCCAUUCUGAGCUCCGUAAUUGCUUCCAAGUGGUAGAUCCUGCCCGGUUCUACAGUAUGUGCAUCCGGGACACCUGUGAGAUAAGUGAACUCCAGGCUGCCUGCAGCAUGGUCUCUGCCUACAUCCACCUGUGCAGCCGAGGCUUCGUUCCCCUGGCAACUCCUCCUCCAUGUGUGUGAGAUUCUGCUCAGGGCAGCCAUAGGCUGACAAAGGAUGGCAAACUCUUUCGCCUUGUGACAUUAUCCAGCUCUAACAUCCAACAAGCAGCCGUAGUCUUGUAGAGAAUCAUCCCUAGCAAGGGGAGAAAACACAGGCACCCGAGAGAAUGAAGAAAAUGAGCAUGCCUAUGGCCUGCUGAAGGGCAGCCAUUUAUCGCUCUUUUAAGUAACAUGCAUGGCCAAGGACAUGGGAGCCUCCCCCAACAGGUUUCAGUGAAUCUCUUCCUCCUCCGCUGUAAGAGCCUAAGACACUGGGAUUCUCCUGUGCUCACUCUAGCCCCCAAAACUCUCUUCUGGCACGUCAGAGGGUGAAAAAAAGAGAGCAAUCUGCUUUGGCUCGAAAGAUGACUUAUUCAUCGCAUAUUUACUGAGCACCUACUAUAUGAAAUGCCGUGGUUCUGGAUCAAUUGUGUCAGCAGUAAGGAGGAGUGGGUAUCAGGAAGGCUGUCUUAGUUAUUAAUCCCAUCAGCUCAGGUUUCUUCCAGCUGUAUUUUGCCAUCAAAUUCCAUUUCGCCACCAGCUUAAAAGAACAAGUGACCUGACUUACUGCACAUGGCUUCCUUGACCUCAGCUGUCCCAACUUCCUACCAGGGUUGGGGAGAGUCUGGGGUUGUUGUUUGCUCAGGCAGCCAUAGCAUUUUCAAAAAGUGGGGAAGAUCUCUUGAGAUUUUCUUGUUAUCAAGUGUUUUGUUUUUUUUUUAAAUACUGCAAAUAAACUAGAUUCAAAUUUUGAGGUUUAGUGGGAA